AGUGAACGCUGGCGGUAGGCCUAACACAUGCAAGUCGAACGGCAGCACAGUAAGAGCUUGCUCUUACGGGUGGCGAGUGUCGGACGGGUGAGGAAUACAUCGGAAUCUACUUUUUCGUGGGGGAUAACGUAGGGAAACUUACGCUAAUACCGCAUACGACCUACGGGUGAAAGCAGGGGAUCUUCGGACCUUGCGCGAUUGAAUGAGCCGAUGUCGGAUUAGCUAGUUGGCGGGGUAAAGGCCCACCAAGGCGACGAUCCGUAGCUGGUCUGAGAGGAUGAUCAGCCACACUGGAACUGAGACACGGUCCAGACUCCUACGGGAGGCAGCAGUGGGGAAUAUUGGACAAUGGGCGCAAGCCUGAUCCAGCCAUACCGCGUGGGUGAAGAAGGCCUUCGGGUUGUAAAGCCCUUUUGUUGGGAAAGAAAAGCAGCAGGUUAAUACCCCGCUGUUCUGACGGUACCCAAGGAAUAAGCACCGGCUAACUUCGUG
rnacentral:rRNA from 1 species